AUGCCGUUUGGCAACAUAUGUACUAAAACUGGAAUAACACAAAGAUUACCAAGACCCCUCAGCGUGAAUGGCAUGCACAUUUAUGAAUGUUCCAUAGUUUUU
rnacentral:snRNA from 1 species